GGAAUAACGGUUUAAUGAGACACGAUGGCAAUGAUUCUCAAAUGGUAGAUUUCGGUUCAGAAAUAACACCAGUUGUGUCUUCUGAAAUACACAAUGUCUCCUUGUUGUAUGAAGGUCUCAUAGAAGAGUAUUGUGUUGGUUUUCGCUGGUAGAUUCUGAUUUGAAUAAUGCACCAAAUGUUCCGUCUGAGAUAGUAAAUGUAUUGUUGUUGUUAGAUAAAGAACUUAAAUGUGUUCAUACAUUUGGUUUUGAAGAUUUACUGGCAAACGAUUUUGAAUCGAAAUAUACUUUUUCAUUGUCGAGGGAAAAACGUGAUUUUUUAACUUGAAAAUUAAAAAUAUUGAGCCAGGAGUUGUGUCAGAAAAAUUGGCCUUUGCACUAUUUACAAAUGUGAUGAAAAAUGGUACAGUAGUGUGUGUAAUGUCGUUGAUAUUGAUGAUAACGGAGAAGAAGUAUUUAUGAUUACUUUCUUUGAUUGGGGUGAAAGAUUCACUGUAAAAGCCUGUAACAUACGCCGGACUCAAAAAAGUUUUAUAAGAUAUGCAGCUUUAACAAUUAAUUGAACUUUCAAUGGUAAAACUAUUUGUUGUACUAAAAGUAAUUUUUUCACUUGUUCUAUUGGU